CCCUUAGAUGUUCUGGGCCGCACGCGUGCUACACUGAACGGUUCAAUGGGUAAGGUAGUGCGAAAGCAUGACCUAAUCUCGAAAUCCGUUCGUGCUGGGGAUAGAAGCUUGCAAUUAUCCUUCUUGAACGAGGAAUACCUUGUAAGCGUGAGUCAUCAUCUCACGCUGAAUACGUCCCUGCCCUUUGUACACACCGCCCGUCGCUCCUACCGAUUGAGUGUUCCGGUGAGGCUUUGGGAGAAUGGCCUCAACAUGAGUUUAUCGUGUUUUGCCGCUUGAACUUAGUCAAACCUUAUCACUUAGAGGAAGGAGAAGUCGUAACA
rnacentral:rRNA from 1 species